GACGAACGCUGGCGGCGUGCUUAACACAUGCAAGUCGAACGGAAAGGCCCUGCUUUUGUGGGGUGCUCGAGUGGCGAACCGGUGAGUAACACGUGAGUAACCUGCCCUUGACUUUGGGAUAACUUCAGGAAACUGGGGCUAAUACCGGAUAGGAGCUCCUGCUGCAUGGUGGGGGUUGGAAAGUUUCGGCGGUUGGGGAUGGACUCGCGGCUUAUCAGCUUGUUGGUGGGGUAGUGGCUUACCAAGGCUUUGACGGGUAGCCGGCCUGAGAGGGUGACCGGCCACAUUGGGACUGAGAUACGGCCCAGACUCCUGCGGGAGGCAGCAGUGGGGAAUAUUGCACAAUGGGCGGAAGCCUGAUGCAGCAACGCCGCGUGCGGGAUGACGGCCUUCGGGUUGUAAACCGCUUUCGCCUGUGACGAAGCGUGAGUGACGGUAAUGGGUAAAGAAGCACCGGCUAACUACGUG
rnacentral:rRNA from 1 species